rnacentral:lncRNA from 1 species
AGUGGAACAGUGUGCUCUGGAAUGAUGGUGCUUUAAUACUAUAUUUUUGGGAUGAAUUGGGGAGUUAAAACUGCCUCCAUAAUGUAGAACAUAAAAAAAAAAACAGCUCAAACCCAAUGAGGCAUGGACUCCACAACAACAAGUUUUCCUACAAGUUGUGAGGAGGACGGGACCUCUUUCCAGAACAACUAAGGCCAUGCUCCGAGUGUGUCUUCUUCACUGUCUGCUGGUUCAGAGCUUCCAUACUGUUUUCUGCUUUAGUACAGGUAGUACGCUGCGCUGCCCUGAUGUAAAUGGGACUGUGGGGGAGCCAAUAAUAUUAAACUGCACUUUGAAAUGUGAGCGUCGUGACAUAAAGAAACAUAAAUGGAAAUUUAUUGUUGAUUCUGAUUGGACGAAUAUAAAUGACUCUCAGUCUGAAUCAGAGGAGACAGAUGGGAGUUUUAUAUUUCAGUAUGAACUCAUACCAGCCAAGCAUCACAAUACCACAUUUCAAUUCUGGGUGCAACUGACCACUGGCACUCCUUCACAAAACUUUACUGUCAGAUUAUCAGAGAAGAUCCCAUCUAAUGUCACGACUGGAAAAGAGAAGAGUACGGAUGAAUUUGCAGAUCCUCAUCAGGGUACAGAGAUGAUCCCACCAGAUUCUUCUGCUACUCAUAAGCAUACUGGAAUAUUUGUGGCUGUUGCUGCUGCUCUGGGUCUUAUUGUUUUGGCAGUUUUGAGUAAAAAGACUCCUGAUAGAGUAAGCCUGCAUUAUAUUGUUUAAUGGUGACUGUCUGAAUGUAGUGCUGUAACUGAGGAAUAAGGGACAGGAAAUUAGGAAGUGAUAAAGUGAAAAGCUUUUAUAUAAGAAAACAGCACUGGCCAGUACAAAUACAGUUUUAUAUACAAAUCAAAAGUGUAAAUGUAAAUAUUUUUUUCUGAUUUCUGUGAAAUAAUAGUUUUCUACUGAUCUAUGUGAAUAAAUAAAUAUAUAUAUUUUUAAUAAGGCUCUAA